AAAUAGAUACCUAAUUCUGAUGAUUUACAAGGUGAAAUAUAGAAAUCUGUUGAAUUCAAAAACUUCUGGACAAGAAUAAUUACUUAACCACUGGGCCUGUAUAAAAUAGAAACAAGCGGAAUUCAGUUACUUUCCAACAGUUUGCCCAUUUCAAAGCUCUUGGCUUUCUAGAAAACUCAUAAGGUAUAUAGGGAAUCAACCGAAGAAGUGAAUUUGAAAUAUCUGAUAUUUCUUGGAAUGAAAAUUUAUCAGGUGGUUUUCCAUUCAUCCAUAUAUUUACAAUCAUUUUUUUCGAACAUGAAAAGUAGCCUGUAUGCCCUGUGGUAUAUUUUAUUAAAGCUUUUGCAGGAACAUCA